CAGCAGUCAAACUAGCUAUUUAUUGUUGUUCUCAACAUCUACAUGAACACUGGUGGGAAGGACAAACCUACAGUCUUAUCCAGCAUGUUUAGUUACAGUUUUAAGAACAGAUAAUUUGACACAUUCAUCAUUAAAUUUCCAGAAAAUACACUAAAAAUAUUAAAAGAAAAUCCUUUGCAAAAGUUCAGCUUUAAAGCGGGCUAAAUAAAUGAGAUAUAUUAAAAAAUCCUAAGCCUGCUAUUUGAUGAAUCUGUCUUUCCUAUUAUCAGCAACCAACUCCAGAAUUUUGUGAAUCGAGACUACAGAAAGACUCCAAAUAUCAAGGCUAGAAAAUCCAUUAAUUUUAGCCAACUGCAGACUAACAUUAAAAUUGUAUUCUUUGCAAUGCUCGGUUAAUGGGCUCUUGGAAAUAUUGAAGCGAGAUGAAAAUUGCUUCCUGUUACAAAAGGCAAAUUUAAAUCACACUAAUCUUUUAGCAGAGAGAAUUUAUUCCUGGUAAAAAGACAAUAAAAUAAAAAUUACAACCUCUGUUCGAAUUGUUCGACUUCCUUGAUGAGGACAGGUAUUCAAGUAUGAAUCAAAAACCUCUUGAACAUUUUUACCCUUCAAGAAGAAGAAAAAAGCCAGCAUUCAAUAAUUCUCUUUUGCUUUUAGCCUGAGCAUUUUACUACAGCUUGAACAAGUCAAUAAAUUAAGCUGAAUCAUGGAUAAACAACAUGUAUGCAUGCAAGAGAUUAGUUGUUUCCAAAUAACAUUUUUAUGCUGUCAAAGUCCCAUAUCAUAAAAAUGAAGGUGAUCUGCAUAUUUCCACAAGAAACAAUGAAAGGGAGAGGGGGAAAGAAAAAGGAACGAAAUGGUUGCAUUCCAGUAAACGAAUUAAGAGUAAACAGAUCCAAAACUGGAACCACGCAAUUCUUCAAGAAUAACAGUAUAUUUUGUCGAACAGAAAGUACCUCUAAAUUACUGUCUUCCUCAAUACUUUCUUCCAAUCCAGCGAGCCCACCAAAAGCAAUCAACAAAUGCCUAGCAAAUUAUUACAAAUUGGAACAAUCCACAAAGCCUUGCAAGUUAUUUAUACAAAGAAAAGGACCAAAUCUGGAUGCAAAGAAGUGUUCAAAAUGCAGUCAUUUACUCUACCCACUAAAACUGCAUAUUAUUAGACCAAAACAAAGUCCUAAGACUAGGGCUAGCGAUACAAAGAACAAAAAGAUAUGCCAUGAUAAAGAUCCAAACUCAGAUAAGCAUUAGUAUCUAUUGAAAGCCCUUUGCCAUAAGGAAAGUUAUAUUAAGGUUCUAACAGAGAAAAAAACAUACCUGAAAAUUGGCAAAGAAAGCUCUGAAGAGUUAAUAAUCUGACCAUGCUCUGAAGUACCAAUCAAAUAAUCAUAGCCACCCUAUAAUCAACAAGACUGAAGUUGAUGAAUGCCUUCUGCAAGUUGUCAGCAAAAACUAUAUAUGGCUCUUACAAAGGGAAUACAGAAAACCAUAGGAUUGAAGUAUUGAUACCUCAUACGGACAAGCAUUAAAUACUGAGCUGAUAUUUGAAGCAUACCGCACUCUAUAGCCCCAAUAUAUUCCUGCUUCCUCUUUAGGUUUGGACAAUGAUACAACCUCAUGUGGUAUAUCACCAUCCAAAUUGCGGUUGCUUCCCAUUGCCACAGUUACUCUAAUGCCAGGUUCAAGAACUUGAUCAAUUACAACAUUCUGCAUAAUUUAGCUUCAAAUAUGUAAAUUGACAAAUUUACUAGAGACUUAUACCAGUAUAGAAUUCAAAGGGAAAAAUCAUAGAAUCAAUGUCAAAUAAAUUGACUGCAGGUAUUUAUAUGCAGCAUGCAUAAUGUGGGGAGAAAGAAAUUUGAGGAAAAAAAAAAGGCGUCUUGAUAAGAUUAUGCUUUGGCGUGCCAACAGCAAUAAUAGUCAUACUGUAGAAAAUACUCCUGUCACUUGAUUUAGUUCAAGUGUGGGAACUGUUGCCACGAGUGACAAUGUCUUGAGCAUGCAGAUUUCAAGCUAUUUAGAAGCUUACUAGCACCAACAUCAUCAUCUAGCAAAGCUAAGCUCCAAUUUCAAUUGAAUUCAAUUCACAGGUUAGAGGGUCAAAGAAAAGGAGGAUCAUAUGAACUUAUAUCUGAUUAGCAGAGAUCAACAGAGGGACCUGACUCUUGUGAAAGAAGAUUGCCACCAAGAAAUCAUGCAACUCUUGCUAUAUUUUGAAUGGGGGAAAACCGGUAGGCAGUGCCAAUAUCACAUUAGCUAAUAUCAGCAAUUAAAUUGUUAAUAUCCAUCACAUGAAAUAAAAUAGAUACCACAAUGCCUUUUGGAAAUAUAAAGGAGGUAAACUAAACAAAUUUGUAACAAAGUCCACUAGAUUGUUACCUUACUCAAACCCACGUCAACAGGUGUUCCCUGAAAGUUUGUAGCUUUUUCCUUUAAUGUGACACCCUCCCGAUAUGGAGCCCACUCAUGCUUGCGCAAGUGGUGUGGAGCAUCAAGAGGAGGCAACAAACCCACAAAUCUCAGGCUAUUAUGCCUUGGGAAGAGAGCUUUCCUUAAAUACUGUGGAGUCUCGAGAUACCGCAAGAUCCUUAUGAGAAAAGGCGCACCACUUUCAUUCUCACCAGAGUUAUUGACAGUGUUCACAGUGGGAUCCUCAAUCACUAAACUACUCUUAUUGUCAAACACCACAACCUCAUCGAUUCGAAAUAUGGUCGCGGCACGAGCAAUCUGACCAGCCAAUCGAGUAGCGAGUUCAAGAGAUUGAGCGUUGUCGAUAAUGGAACCGGGGACGGCUAUGCUUACUGUACGUUUCCCAUUCGCUUCGUUCUCUUCUUUCUCAGUCUCAUUUAUUU
rnacentral:misc_RNA from 1 species